AGCAGCCGCGGUAAUUCCAGCUCCAAUAGCGUAUAUUAAAGUUGUUGCAGUUAAAAAGCUCGUAGUUGAAUUUCGGGAUUCUAUCGUUGGUCGGGCUAUUGUCUGUACUGGCGUGUAGGAUUUCUACCUUCUGGGGAACUAUCAUGUUAUUAAUUUAGCGUGGUAGGAAACCAGAACCUUUACCUUGAAAAAUUAGAGUGUUCAAAGCAGGCUUAUGUCUGAAUACAUUAGCAUGGAAUAAUAAAAUAGGACGGUGGUCCUGCUUUGUUGGUUUCUGAAUCACCGUAAUGAUUAAUAGGGAUAGUUGGGGGCAUUAGUAUUCAAUUGUCAGAGGUGAAAUUCUUGGAUUUAUUGAAGACUAACUACUGCGAAAGCAUUUGCCAAGGAUGUUUUCAUUAAUCAAGAACGAAAGUUAGGGGAUCGAAGACGAUCAGAUACCGUCGUAGUCUUAACCAUAAACUAUGCCGACUAGGGAUCGGACGAUGUUAACUUUUCUUGACUCGUUCGGCGCCUUACGGGA
rnacentral:rRNA from 1 species